rnacentral:tRNA from 1 species
UAAAAAUAGGUGUAAGAAGCACUUAAAUUUUUGAAAUUUAAUGGUGAGUUUAAUUCUCAAAUUUUUAA